rnacentral:rRNA from 1 species
CUGACACAGGGAGGUAGUGACAAGAAAUAACAAUACAGGGCUACAUCUAGUCUUGUAAUUGGAAUGAGUACAAUUUACAUCUCUUCACGAGGAUCAAUUGGAGGGCAAGUCUGGUGCCAGCAGCCGCGGUAAUUCCAGCUCCAAUAGCGUAUAUUAAAGUUGUUGCAGUUAGAACGCUCGUAGUCGGAUUUCGGGGCGGGCCGACCGGUCUGCCGAUGGGUACGCACUGGUCGGCGCGUCCUUCCUUCCGGAGACCGUGCCUACUCUUAACUGAGCGGGGGCGGGAGACGGAUCGUUUACUUUGAAAAAUCAGAGUGUUUCAAGCAGGCAGCUCGCUCUUGCAUGGAUUAGCAUGGGAUAAUGAAAUAGGACUUUGGUGCUAUUUUGUUGGUUUCGAACACCGAAGUAAUGAUUAAAAGGGACAGUCAGGGGCACUCGUAUUCCGCCGAGAGAGGUGAAAUUCUCAGACCAGCGGAAGACGAACCACUGCGAAAGCAUUUGCCAG